rnacentral:rRNA from 1 species
UACGAAGGGUGCAAGCGUUACUCGGAAUACUGGGCGUAAAGGGUGCGUAGGUGGUUUGUUAAGUCUGCUGUGAAAUCCCCGGGCUCAACCUGGGAAUGGCAGUGGAUACUGGCAAGCUAGAGUGCGGUAGAGGGUAGUGGAAUUCCCGGUGUAGCAGUGAAAUGCGUAGAGAUCGGGAGGAACACCAGUGGCGAAGGCGGCUACCUGGACCAGCACUGACACUGAAGCACGAAAGCGUGGGGAGCAAACAGG